rnacentral:lncRNA from 1 species
AACAACCUAAAAACGAUUAGAAAAAUAGUGAAUAGAGAAGAACAUGAUAGAAAAAAAACAUAACUAGAGAAGAAGAAGAAUAGAAGAAGAAUAGGGAGAAGUUUGAAGCAUUUGAGGCAGAGUAGCAGUUAGGGAAAGAGAAAUAACGAGCAAAAAAUGCGAGAAGCCACGAACAGAAGAAACAUGAAGGAGAAAAGUGAAAACGUGAAUGAGAG